AAUACCGCAUAAGCGCACGGAGCCGCAUGGCUUAGUGUGAAAAACUCCGGUGGUGUAAGAUGGAUCCGCGUCUGAUUAGCUGGUUGGCGGGGUAGAAGCCCACCAAGGCGACGAUCAGUAGCCGGCCUGAGAGGGUGAACGGCCACAUUGGGACUGAGACACGGCCCAAACUCCUACGGGAGGCAGCAGUGGGGAAUAUUGCACAAUGGGGGAAACCCUGAUGCAGCAACGCCGCGUGAGUGAAGAAGUCAUUCGUGAUGUAAAGCUCUAUCAGCAGGGAAGAAAAUGACGGUACCUGAGUAAGAAGCCCCGGCUAACUACGUGCCAGCAGCCGCGGUAAUACGUAGGGGGCAAGCGUUAUCCGGAUUUACUGGGUGUAAAGGGAGCGUAGACGGCCAGACAAGUCUGAAGUGAAAAUCCAGCGCUUAACGUUGGAAGUGCUUUGGAAACUGCCGGGCUAGAGUGCAGGAGGGGCAGGCGGAAUUCCUAGUGUAGCGGUGAAAUGCGUAGAUAUUAGGAGGAACACCAGUGGCGAAGGCGGCCUGCUGGACUGCAACUGACGUUGAGGCUCGAAGGCGUGGGGAGCAAACAGGAUUAGAUACCCUGGUAGUCCACGCGGUAAACGAUGAUUACUAGGUGUCGGGGGGCUAGAGCCCUUCGGUGCCGUCGC
rnacentral:rRNA from 1 species